GACGAACGCUGGCGGCGUGCUUAACACAUGCAAGUCGAACGGAAAGGCCCUGCUUUUGUGGGGUGCUCGAGUGGCGAACGGUGAGUAACACGUGAGUAACCUGCCCUUGACUUUGGGAUAACUUCAGGAAACUGGGGCUAAUACCGGAUAGGAGCUCCUGCUGCAUGGUGGGGGUUGGACAGUUUCGGCGGUUGGGGAUGGACUCGCGGCUUAUCAGCUUGUUGGUGGGGUAGUGGCUUACCAAGGCUUUGACGGGUAGCCGGCCUGAGAGGGUGACCGGCCACAUUGGGACUGAGAUACGGCCCAGACUCCUACGGGAGGCAGCAGUGGGGAAUAUUGCACAAUGGGCGGAAGCCUGAUGCAGCAACGCCGCGUGCGGGAUGACGGCCUUCGGGUUGUAAACCGCUUUCGCCUGUGACGAAGCGUGAGUGACGGUAAUGGGUAAAGAAGCACCGGCUAACUACGUG
rnacentral:rRNA from 1 species